rnacentral:rRNA from 1 species
CCUACGGGCGGCAGCAGUGGGGAAUAUUGGACAAUGGGCGAAAGCCUGAUCCAGCCAUGCCGCGUGUGUGAAGAAGGCCUUCGGGUUGUAAAGCACUUUCAGUGGGGAAGAAAGCCUUGGGGCUAAUACCCUCGAGGAAGGACAUCACCCACAGAAGAAGCACCGGCUAACUCCGUGCCAGCAGCCGCGGUAAUACGGAGGGUGCGAGCGUUAAUCGGAAUUACUGGGCGUAAAGCGUGCGUAGGCGGUCUGAUAAGCCGGUUGUGAAAGCCCCGGGCUCAACCUGGGAACGGCAUCCGGAACUGUCAGGCUAGAGUGCAGGAGAGGAAGGUAGAAUUCCCGGUGUAGCGGUGAAAUGCGUAGAGAUCGGGAGGAAUACCAGUGGCGAAGGCGGCCUUCUGGACUGACACUGACGCUGAGGUGCGAAAGCGUGGGUAGCAAACAGGAUUAGAUACCCCUGUAGUC